rnacentral:rRNA from 1 species
CCUACGGGGUGCAGCAGUGAGGAAUAUUGGUCAAUGGACGAGAGUCUGAACCAGCCAAGUAGCGUGAAGGAUGCCUGCCCUAUGGGUUGUAAACUUCUUUUAUAUGGGAAUAAAAUGUUCCAAGUGUGGGAUUUUGUAUGUCACAUAUGAAUAAGGAUCGGCUCACUCCGUGCCAGCAGCCGCGGUAAUACGGAGGAUCCGAGCGUUAUCCGGAUUUAUUGGGUUUAAAGGGAGCGUAGGUGGAUUGUUAAGUCAGUUGUGAAAGUUUGCGGCGCAACCGUAAAAUUGCAGUUGAAACUGGCAGUCGUGAGUACAGUAGAGGUGGGCGGAAUGCGGGGUGUAGCGGUGAAAUGCUUAGAUAGCACGAAGAAAUCCGAUUGCGAAGGCAGCUCACUGGACUGCAACUGACACUGAGGCUCGAAAGUGUGGGUAUCAAACAGGAUUAGAUACCCGUGUAGUC